GAAUGGCAAUGCUGCAAUAAUAGGUGGAAACCAAACCCCAGUUCUAAAGCCCGUGAGCUGCAACACAAAGGCUACCUGUGACAGAAACUCUCCUAGGGACACCUGAGAGUGUUCAGGUAGUAGGACACAGAGUCCUACCACCUGAGAGAUGUGGAAAUCAAGAUGAUGGAGACAUCACUCCAACCCAGAAACUGAGACCACUGUGUGUUACCUGAGAACUAUGGUAGCACAUCACAACCUUUGCUCUCCAUUAUCUUCAAAGAAGAGUUUACUCCAUGAGUUCAGAAGCACAACAACGUGCAGAAAAAUCAGUUCCUAGAUGCACAACAGCCACAUAAGGUCUUGAACAUCCAUCUCUCAGGUGACCACACAACAGCUCCUCAGCUUCCCUCCAGCUCUGGGAUCCAACAUCAGAUUCAUCAGAAAAAGAAGAGAAAUAUACAAAGUAUUCUUCACUGCAGCAAAUCCAGACUGACUUUUAGCUACUGCUCUAAACACCACCAAAGCCAGGACAGAGUCAUUCAGAAUUUUGGAAGUCAGACAAGGCAUUGUGCACCAUCACACAAAAGAUGUCUUCUGCAUGUCGGAAAAACAAAACAAAGGGCAAGCAAUUACUUAUCAAUACCACAUAAUGGGGCAGACAGAGCUGUGGCUGAAAUACAGGGCUCGUGCCACCCAGAUCCAUGUGAAAAUUGUGAGGCCACAGUUUCUACAAUCACAUUACUUAACCUCUGCAUGUCUCAUUCUCCUCCAAAGUAAAACAAUAUGCCGUAAGACUUUUUCAUCUUCAAUUUUUCCUUGACAUAACUGGUGUGCCUAGCACUAAUAGCACACUUGGAAAAUAUAAAGUACUCUGUAGAAAGCAGCAAAAAUGUUAGUGGCUAACGGCUUGGUUAUACACAGAAGGAACUAAAAUAUGGAAUUAAACUGCUACAGGAAUAUUCCACAGAGACAGUGCCACAGGAGCCUUCCAAAGCCCAGACUAGCUCAGACAGCCAACACAAAAGAACUCGUUCUGUGGUACUUUGCAACUCUGGAACUGGACCCUAGUGAACCAUGAUUUGACAAGAUUUUUAUGCAGCUGAAUUGCUCAUUGACAAUGAGCAAUUUUAUUGCGCUAAGUAUUUUAUUGCACUAAGUAGAGAAAAUGGGUUGUUUUGUAUAAAACUGACUUGUGAUACCAGUCCUGGAUUCAGCUGCCAUCUCUACCACGUAUUCCUGUAGGACCUUGAGCUAGUCAAUUGCUCUUUCCAUUCCUCAGCUCCCCCCCCCCCCCCCCAUGUAGCAAUUUUAUCAGCAAAGCUUCUGGGAUUGACAAAAGAAUUGGUGGAAAAAAUUCUACAAUAAGUAUUGUAGAUUGUAUAUAGCUAUCAGGGCAUAAAUUGUACAAAAUCCAUGGCUCCGUAUCUUCUAGACAGAAAGUGUGUGCAAGUAUUCCAUUUUGCAAAGUUAAAAAUUUCAUCUGGUUCUAUUUAACAUGUUCUUAAGCAUCCAAUUUUUUCUUUCCCUUAGCUGCCAAUGUUUUUUGAUUAGAAAACAUUUUGUUCUCAAAGUCUUGCCAUGCUUUCAUUGCCAUGUUUUUAUGAACUAAGUGACAGAGGAGAUAAAUGAAGGCUCAGUGUCCAUGGUUGGAAAAAAAGAAAAAAAGCAGUUAAAAAUUUAACAAUAGGGCAUAAAACCAAGAAAGACAGAUGAUUAUCUAGUGGUUACUUCCAUUAAGUGAUUUAGAAGGAUGAAUAUUUAAGGAAAAAUUUUAAAAUAUUGUUUUCCUUGACUUUUUUGAUUUGUUUUAUGAAAUAAAACCACAGCCCUUUCCCCACCACCUUUAAAUUCCAUAUAUGACCCUCUAAAUCAAUUACAUUGGCACAGACAAUGUUAAAGAAUAUAAUCUGGUACUGUAGGUGUAAGCCAUGAUGAAUAUGAAAACUGCAGUAAAAGGUUUGAAAUCAUUUAGUAGCCAUGAAACCAAAAUCUAAGGUGUAUCUUGUUUACUGAAUUGCCAAAAAUCAAAAUAUAGCCUGUUUUACCUAAACAAGAUUUCUGUGUAGCCAUAUAUUGAAUAUACUCUCAGAUUUUCAAUUUAGCUACUCACUGUAUUUCACAAUUCAGUGCUGGUCUUUGGACUGAAUUUUAGUGUUGCACUCACCCCACCUAGCUGCAAGCUGCAGGAAAGCCAGCUAGACAAAGACAAAACCAGCCUUAUGAAAAAGAGUGCAAAUCUAAUUUAAAUAAAAGACAGAAUGUUAUUUUUUACAGAAAUAAACCUUGCAACAUUUUUAGUUGUUCUCUCUCAGUACUGGUUAAUAACUCACCGAGAAUAUAUUCUAUUGUGUGUUACUAACACAGUUGCAGCACUUCUGCACUUUACAGAAAAUCUAUGUCACAAAAACAUUCUUAAAGGUGCACAGUAGCACACUGAGAAGUUUAGAAAUUUAAAAACUAAAAUUCUUUAGGAAACAGAAGUAAUUUCUUUAGUUUGCAUGCACUAUGUUUCAAACUUUUAUCAGUUUGAAACACUACCUUCCCCUAUGGAGAAACAAACCAAAACCAGAUCAACAACUUGAUGAUCUCAAUUCUCAUCUGC